rnacentral:rRNA from 1 species
AUUGAACGCUGGCGGCAGGCUUAACACAUGCAAGUCGAGCGGGGUGAUGGUGCUUGCACUAUCACUAGCGGCGGACGGGUGAGUAAUGCUUAGGAAUCUGCCUAUUAGUGGGGGACAACAUCUCGAAAGGGAUGCUAAUACCGCAUACGUCCUACGGGAGAAAGCAGGGGAUCACUUGUGACCUUGCGCUAAUAGAUGAGCCUAAGUCGGAUUAGCUAGUUGGUGGGGUAAAGGCCUACCAAGGCGACGAUCUGUAGCGGGUCUGAGAGGAUGAUCCGCCACACUGGGACUGAGACACGGCCCAGACUCCUACGGGAGGCAGCAGUGGGGAAUAUUGGACAAUGGGGGGAACCCUGAUCCAGCCAUGCCGCGUGUGUGAAGAAGGCCUUAUGGUUGUAAAGCACUUUAAGCGAGGAGGAGGCUCUUUUGGUUAAUACCCAAGAUGAGUGGACGUUACUCGCAGAAUAAGCACCGGCUAACUCUGUGCCAGCCGCCGCCGUAA